UUGGUGAGGUAAUGGCUCACCAAGGCGACGACGGGUAGCCGGCCUGAGAGGGCGACCGGCCACACUGGGACUGAGACACGGCCCAGACUCCUACGGGAGGCAGCAGUGGGGAAUAUUGCACAAUGGGCGAAAGCCUGAUGCAGCGACGCCGCGUGAGGGAUGACGGCCUUCGGGUUGUAAACCUCUUUCAGCAGGGAAGAAGCGAAAGUGACGGUACCUGCAGAAGAAGCGCCGGCUAACUACGUGCCAGCAGCCGCGGUAAUACGUAGGGCGCAAGCGUUGUCCGGAAUUAUUGGGCGUAAAGAGCUCGUAGGCGGUCUGUCGCGUCGGAUGUGAAAUCCCGUGGCUCAACUGCGGGUCUGCAGCCGAUACGGGCAGGCUAGAGUUCGGUAGGGGAGACUGGAAUUCCUGGUGUAGCGGUGAAAUGCGCAGAUAUCAGGAGGAACACCGAUGGCGAAGGCAGGUCUCUGGGCCGAUACUGACGCUGAGGAGCGAAAGCGUGGGGAGCGAACAGGAUUAGAUACCCUGGUAGUCCACGCUGUAAACGUUGGGCGCUAGGUGUGGGGGACCUCUCCGGUUCUCUGUGCCGCAGCUAACGCAUUAAGCGCCCCGCCUGGGGAGUACGG
rnacentral:rRNA from 1 species